GACAUUUGUAGACCAUACAGGAACUAUCUGGCUAUUAUUGCUAUAGAGAAUAAGAUUGCCAUGUUGAUUAAUGAAGAGAACUCCUGAAUAGCCAUUGAUUGGAUGGUUCCUAUUUGCUACCGAAACCACAUUUUGCACUCGGACUUUGUGGUACCAGAUUCCAAGAUAUCUAUGCCCCAAAUAUCCAGGACCAAAAAAUCCUAAAACAAAAUUAUUUCCUUCAGAGAUUAGAAAGUUACCAUCUUCAAUAGUUUGGUUUAUGGUAAUGGUGUCUAGGGAAGAAGAAGAUGUGAAAUGAAGGAAUAGAAGAAAAGAUUGCAGAAACAACUUUUGAGAAUCCAUAUUGUUUCUACACCUCUUCAUUGAAAUUUAAAUGAACUUCACAUGGUGAUUUGGUAAUAUUUUCAAUUCAGAAAUACUAGAUGAGCUAAGAGGUUUGAC
rnacentral:misc_RNA from 1 species